rnacentral:rRNA from 1 species
UACGUAGGGUGCAAGCGUUGUCCGGAAUCAUUGGGCGUAAAGAGCGUGUAGGCGGCUCGAUUAGUCCGCUGUAAAAGUCCAGGGCUCAACCCUGGGAUGCCGGUGGAAACUGUCGGGCUAGAGUCCGGGAGAGGCGAGUGGAAUUCCUGGUGUAGCGGUGAAAUGCGCAGAUAUCAGGAAGAACACCGAUGGCGAAGGCAGAUCUCUGGGCCGUAACUGACGCUGAGGAGCGAAAGCAUGGGGAGCGAACAGG